rnacentral:rRNA from 1 species
CCUACGGGAGGCUGCAGUGAGGAAUAUUGGUCAAUGGCCGAGAGGCUUAACCAGCCAAGUCGCGGGAGGGAAGACGGCCCUACGGGUUGUAAACCUCUUUUGUCGGGGAGCAAAGCGAGUCACGUGUGACCCAUUUAGAGUACCCGAAGAAAAAGCAUCGGCAAAGUCCGUACCAGCAGCCGCGGUAAUACGGAGAAUGCGAGCGUUAUCCGGAUUUCUUGGGUUUAAAGGGUGCGCAGGCGGAGGUGCAAGUCAGCGGUAAAAUUGCGGGGCUCAACCCCGUACUUCCGUUGAAACUGCAUCCCUUGAGUGCGCGAGAAGUAUGCGGAAGGCGUGGUGUAGCGGGGAAAUGCAGAGAUAUAACGCAGAACUCCGAUUGCGAAGGCAGCAUACCGGCGCGCAACUGACGCUCAUGCACGAAAGCGUGGGUAUCGAACAGGAUUAGAUACCCCUGUAGUC